CCAAAUCUCAUUGUAUUUAAAUAUACUUUAUUUCCGCCUCACAGAAGCCCCGGGGACCCUACAGGCAUCUGUCUUCCAUUCUUAGUGAUGCAAGAUCCCCCAAAUCCCAUCAUCUCCUUUUUCUCCAUAGUAAGGGAAGAGACAGCUUGGAGUCCCCCACGGAUAAAUGAAUGCAUUCACCUGGAAAUAAUAUAUCAUUUCCACUCAUGUUCCACUGGCCAAAGAAUAUCAAGGGGAUGGAGAAUUUCAGUGACCACUCCCUUUUACCCCCACCACAAACUGAAGGAAGAGAAGAACUGGAACUACAGAGAUUCAUCAGUAUGUUGAUUCCCAAAACUGCAUGGUAAGUACAUGCAGAAAUGUAAUCAACCAAAUCAUUAGCAUUUAUAAAGAAGACAGUUUCAAAUUGAUGGGCAGUGCUGAAGAAACAUAUAAAUCUUUUCCUAAGUCUUAUUUGAAUUACAAUUGAAAUACUUUCUUUGAAUAUAACCAAAUGUAUUCUUACUCUUUUUUAAACAAAGAGGUCAACAUUCCCUAUUAGAAAAAAUAUCAUUUUGAAGCCUAAAUUUCAGAUUCAUAUGAAACAGCAAAUAUAUGUUUAAAAAGAUGCAGUCAUGUAUUUGUUUGACAUGUAUAAACAACAUUGUUUCAAACUGAUAUAUCGGUCUCUAAUCUUUGCUUGCACUGUGUUAUAAAGUUGAUGGUUAUACUUUAUUAGCAGGUAUUUUCAUUAGGGCCCUAGAAAAAGAAUUCCACUUAAAUAUUGUUUCUCUCUCUGAUAGUAAUCAGAAAUUACUAUUAUUACUGGAUCAAGGCACCUUUGUGUUAAUUAUUGUGCUUCCAUCUUUUUCACAUAAAAAGGUAAAUAUAAAAGUACAGUAUUGCCAGUUAGUGAUAAUAUUCUUGUUUUUCAGUUUAUUGGUAAUCAACACUAAAUUAUCUAAUCGUUUAUUUUUCUUAAAAGUUAGAUUGUGGUAUGCAAGCAUGUAGUUUCCCAAAAAGUCAUAAUUUACAUUUUAUUUCUCAGAUUUAAAACUCAGUUACUAAGAAAAAGAGCUAAAACCCUACUUUGAAAUGUGCUACAUUGUGAUUUAUUAAUAUCAUAUCAGUAUACACUAUGAAAAGAUUAUUAUACAUAUUUAUGCAAGUUUAUGAAAGCUUAUGAAACAUGACUCUUCUGUCUAAAUAUUUGCUGGUUUGUUUUCCAAAAAAAGCCCAGCAUCUUUCACGGACCAUUCUCCCAUUUUUUCCAUAUACAAUGAAACCUUACCUCAACCUAGAGUAAGACUUCCCUAUAAGUUGCUUAUAGCAGUUACUACAAGUUCACAGUUUCUUGCAAUAUUCCACAAGAAAAUGUCUUUAUGGUAAAUUCAGUCUACAUUUUAUUAUUUACUCUAUUUAUAUUUAAAAACCAGAAUAGAAAGGAAAGCCACCAUUAAAUGUCCAUGGUAAGUUUGUUAGAAGGCCAGUCUUCAAAUAUGUUUUAUUGUUCCCCACUAGUGAAAAGUUCUUGAGAGAAAAAGGGAUGGCAAGAAGUGAGAGUUUGUUAAUAGGUCAUAGAUGUAGGCUCUUUUUACAGAAAUCUGAAACACUGGGAUGAUGCAUGAAAAAUUAAGUCAUGCACAAAUGUUUCCAAUUACUCACUUGUUUGGCAUCACAUAGAGUGGACCAAGCAUGGAGAUUAAAGUCUACAUUUUUCACCCCAUUGUUGGCUGUGUUGUAGAAAUGACCUUAUAGGUCAUAUUGCUGAAUUCAUAGGUUUGCUUGCAGCUUGUAUAACUAUUCCUAUUAUACCAUUUCAGAAUCAAAUGAAACUAAGGAUUAAGUCAGUCAAUCCACAGAGACUUAUUAGAAUAAGGCAUUUAAAAUAUUUCAAGAUUGGGCAUGAGUAGAUAGGUGAGGAUGACUCAGAAUGGUGUAACUGAAUUAUUUUGUGAGGAAAGAGCUACCUUGGUCCUCCUCCAACCUUUAGAAGCUUUACAAAAUGAGUGUGAACUUUCAUGUGGUUAAUGUACUUUGAACAUACCAGGAAGAUCAAACCUUAGCCCACACAUGAUAAUUAAUUUUCUUACAACUUCAACUACUUAAAGACACCUCUUACAAUAUAUGGCCUCUAGAAUUAAUGCUCCAGUCACAUGUCAUUUUGUACCUUCAACUAGAACACUUACUACUGGCUUUUCCCCUCUUCUGCUUGAGACUGACAUCAUAUAAUGAAAGAUGAAGGAGCCAAUACGCUUCUUAAGAAGCAAGUAGUCAUGAGACUUCACCUGCCAACCCAGAUAGAAAAAAAGGGGGAGGGGGUAGUUAGCAAUUUCAAGAGCCACAAUUUACCAUGGAAGCCUCUACUUAAUAUUCCGCUUGAUCUGCCAAGUUUAUAGCCUGGCAAAUCUGAAUACAAAUGUCGAUGCAAAUGAGGAUUCAUUAUUCUUACAAGGUCUUUGUGUUGAAGCUUAAUGUAACUUGGUUCCUAUGGUUGCUCAGGGAACGUAGAUUGCAAGACAGAAAAAAUGAUGAAAAGAACAAAAAUAGAAAGGACAAUAAUAGAAAUAGAAGGAAAUGCUUAA
ensembl:lncRNA